rnacentral:rRNA from 4 species
GAGUUUGAUCUUGGCUCAGAUUGAACGCUGGCGGCAUGCCUUACACAUGCAAGUCGAACGGCAGCACGGGAGCUUGCUCCUGGUGGCGAGUGGCGAACGGGUGAGUAAUGCAUCGGAACGUAUCCUGGAGUGGGGGAUAACGUAGCGAAAGUUACGCUAAUACCGCAUAUUCUGUGAGCAGGAAAGCGGGGGACCUUCGGGCCUCGCGCUCUUGGAGCGGCCGAUGUCGGAUUAGCUAGUUGGUGAGGUAAAGGCUCACCAAGGCGACGAUCCGUAGCAGGUCUGAGAGGAUGAUCUGCCACACUGGAACUGAGACACGGUCCAGACUCCUACGGGAGGCAGCAGUGGGAAUUUUGGACAAUGGGGCAACCCUGAUCCAGCCAUGCCGCGUGAGUGAAGAAGGCC